UCAUUUGUUCAUUCAACAAAAAUCCCCUGUUCAACAUCACAGUACGACUAUUUCAAAAGCCAAUACACACAUUACACUUCACAUGAGUGUGUAUUCAUGAUGUCCGUACAGUGAUCAGCUGACACAAACAUGAUCAGGAACUGUUGUGUUACUCUUACUGGAAACAGACACACAGUCUUCCAUGUUUACAGUAGAUCAUGAACGUUUCAAGAUUACGAGAUUCAUUCUCACCGAUUAUUGUGGAGCGUGAACCAAUUACACAUCGAGUGGUCGAGUGGUGUACGCCAGCCGCUGCAGUGAGCCGGUGUUGUUCGUGUUCUUCGUGAAGGAAGGAAGACAGUGCCACACAGGCCUGCCGAGGCACGAAACCAGUCCCUCCAUUCAGACCUGAGACGGGUGGAGAGAGAGAGAGAGAACAAGGCUUUGCAUUUGUGUGAGUGGGACGAGCGAUGACUGGUGGCAGAACACACACACACACACUCGAGCCUGUUUCGGCCACUGCUGCUGUUGUUGUACAAGCAAACGUCUGGAAGUGAAACGUCUUAAUCUCGGGGAUUAAACGAGUGUACAAGAAUCAGCUGAACAUGAAACAUCAUUUUAAUUUUAAUUGUAUAAUUGGUAACACUUUAGAAUACGGUUCUUUCAU